rnacentral:rRNA from 1 species
CCUACGGGGGACAGCAGUGAGGAAUAUUGGUCAAUGGACGAGAGUCUGAACCAGCCAAGUAGCGUGAAGGAUUACUGCCCUAUGGGUUGUAAACUUCUUUUAUAUGGGAAUAAAAUGUUCCACGUGUGGGAUUUUGUAUGUACCAUAUGAAUAAGGAUCGACUAACUCCGGGCCAGCAGCCGCGGUAAUACGGAGGAUCCGAGCGUUAUCCGGAUUUAUUGGGUUUAAAGGGAGCGUAGGUGGAUUGGUAAGUCAGUUGUGAAAGUUUGCGGCUCAACCGUAAAAUUGCAGUUGAAACUGGCAGUCUUGAGUACAGUAGAGGUGGGCGGAAUUCGUGGUGUAGCGGUGAAAUGCUUAGAUAUCACGAAGAACACCGAUUGCGAAGGCAGCUCACUGGACUGCAACUGACACUGAGGCUCGAAAGUGUGGGUAGCAAACAGGAUUAGAUACCCUGGUAGUC